AUAAUUCAGUACACAACAGAGUAUUGUAUUUCAAUAUUAUAUGUAGUUAAUUGCCAAUUUUACCCGACCAUUUAAAAUAACCCAAGCAGUUCUUCUCUUCACUGGAUCAAGUGAGGUAAAUUGUUAAUAUCUGCUGAUGUCACCAGAAAAUAAAAUAAUUAGCAACCCCAGUAUAUAAGUAAGAACUUUCAACACUCGCCAUCACAUAUUUGAACAAACAGAUCACUACGUUUCCAAGAAGAAACUAAACAACUGCUGCCAUGUUGAAGCUCGUGCUGAUAUUGUGUCUUCUGGUUUCAGUUGCACCACUCGCCAGUGCUGUGUCAUGCCAUCAUUUGACUUGGGUCCUUUUCUGUUGUGACAGUGACGUUUGCCCAGCUGGCAUGAAGAAGUUUUCAUAUUGUGAUAAAGGUCAGGCCGCCUGCUAUCAUGUUGACAAAGAAUUUAAUGCGCGACUGAUGAAUCACGCAGAACAGAAGUAGCAAAACCAGGCACUCUCUCAGAAAAGCCCAAUACACAUCGCUAAAACCAUUUAUUACAAUUAAUUUGAUAACCACUUGACUACAUCUGUUCUCUUUGCUUAAAAAAUACAGGAUGGUUUAUGCUGUGAGGUACUAAAUAUGCUACAAAAUGUUACUCUGUUACAUCUGAAGAUGGACUGAAAAAUCUGAUUAAACUUAAGAUACACUCUCA